rnacentral:rRNA from 1 species
CGCGCUACUGGAGCGGCCGAUGUCCGAUUAGCUAGUUGGCGGGGUAACGGCCCACCAAGGCGACGAUCGGUAGCUGGUCUGAGAGGACGACCAGCCACACUGGGACUGAGACACGGCCCAGACUCCUACGGGAGGCAGCAGUGGGGAAUUUUGGACAAUGGGCGCAAGCCUGAUCCAGCCAUGCCGCGUGCGGGAAGAAGGCCUUCGGGUUGUAAACCGCUUUUGGCAGGAACGAAACGGCGCUCGCCAAUACCGGGCGCUAAUGACGGUACCUGCAGAAUAAGCACCGGCUAACUACGUGCCAGCAGCCGCGGUAAUACGUAGGGUGCGAGCGUUAAUCGGGAUUACUGGGCGUAAAGCGUACGCAGGCGGCUGUGCAAGACAGAUGUGAAAUCCCCGGGCUUAACCUGGGAACUGCAUUUGUGACUGCAUGGCUAGAGUCCGUAAGAGGGGGGUGGAAUUCCACGUGUAGCAGUGAAAUGCGUAGAGAUGUGGAGGAACACCGAUGGCGAAGGCAGCCCCCUGGGAUGAGACUGACGCUCAUGUACGAAAGCGUGGGGAGCAAACAGGAUUAGAU